rnacentral:rRNA from 1 species
UUCGGCAAUGGGGGGAACCCUGACCGAGCAACGCCGCGUGAAUGAUGACGGCCUUCGGGUUGUAAAAUUCUGUGGCGAGGAACGAAUGGCAAGGAGAGGAAAUGCUCUUUGUUUGACGGUACCUCGCUAGAAAGCCACGGCUAACUACGGGCCAGCAGCCGCGGUAAUACGUAGGUGGCAAGCGUUAUCCGGAAUUAUUGGGCGUAAAGAGUGAGCAGGCGGUUUUUUAAGUCUGAAGUCAAAUCCUGUGGCUCAACCACAGUUCGCUUUGGAAACUGAAGAACUAGAGUGCGGGAGAGGUAAGCGGAAUUCCAUAUGUAGCGGUGAAAUGCACAGAUAUAUGGAGGAACACCGGUGGCGAAGGCGGCUUACCAGCCCGAUACUGACGCUCAGUCACGAAAGCGUGGGGAGCAAAUAGGCUUAGAUACCCUAGUAGUCCACGCCGUAAACGUUGAGGACCUGAUGCCGGAGUAUUUCGGUGUCGUAGCUAACGCGUUAAGUCCUCCGCCUGGGUACUACGUUCGCAAGAAUAAAACUUAAAGGAAUUGACGGGGGCCCGCACAAGCAGUGGAGCAUGUGGUUUAAUUCGUCGCUACGCGAAAAACCUUACCAGGGUUUGACAUCCCGCUAAAAGUCUUGGAAACAAGAUCAUAGUUAUAGCGGUGAAAGGUGGUGCAUGGUUGUCGUCAGCUCGUGUCGUGAGAUGUUGGGUUAAGUCCCCUAACGAGCGCAACCCUUGUCUCUAUUUGCCAUCAUUAAGUUGGGAACUAUAGAGAGACUGCCGGUGCAAACCGGAGGAAGAUGGGGAUGACGUCAAAUCAUCAUGCCCCUUAUGCCCUGGGCCACACACGUGCUACAAUGGCCGGUACAGAGAGAAGCAAUCCCGUGAGGAGGAGCAAAUCUCACAAAGCCGGUCUCAGUUCGGAUUGGAGUCUGCAACUCGACUCCAUGAAGCUGGAAUUGCUAGUAAUCGCAGAUCAGCAUUGCUGCGGUGAAUACGUUCCCGGGCCUUGUACACACUGCCCGUCACACCAUGAGAGUCGGCAAUACUCGAAGUCGUUAUCUUAACCCGCAAGGGGGGGAGGCGCCUAAGGUAGGGCUGAUGAUUGGGGUUAAGUCGUAACAAGGUAUCCCUACGGGAACGUGGGGAUG